CCUACGGGAGGCAGCAGUAAGGAAUAUUGGUCAAUGGUGGCAACACUGAACCAGCCAUGCCGCGUGAAGGAUGAAGGCGCUCUGCGUUGUAAACUUCUUUUAAGUGGGAAGAAAAACUCAUAUUCAUAUGAGCCUGACGGUACCACUGGAAUAAGCACCGGCUAACUCCGUGCCAGCAGCCGCGGUAAUACGGAGGGUGCAAGCGUUAUCCGGAAUCACUGGGUUUAAAGGGUACGUAGGCGGUCUGUUAAGUCAGUCGUGAAAGUUUGUCGCUUAACGAUAAAAUUGCGAUUGAUACUGGCGGACUAGAAUGUAGUAGAGGCUGGCGGAAUGAGACAAGUAGCGGUGAAAUGCUUAGAUAUGUCUCAGAACACCGAUUGCGAAGGCAGCUGGCUAUGCUAUUAUUGACGCUGAGGUACGAAAGUGUGGGUAGCAAACAGGAUUAGAUACCCUGGUAGUCCACACCCUAAACGAUGUUCACUAUCUGUUGGCGAUAUACUGUCAGUGGAAAAGCGAAAGCGGUAAGCGAACCACCUGGGGAGUACGUUCGCAAGAAUGAAACUCAAAGGAAUUGACGG
rnacentral:rRNA from 1 species